rnacentral:rRNA from 1 species
CCCUUAGAUGUCCUGGGCUGCACGCGCGCUACACUGAUGUGUCCAGUAAGCACCUAACCUCUUCCGAAAGGAACGGGUAACCUUUGCAAAGCACAUCGUGAUGGGGAUAGAUUAUUGCAAUUAUUAGUCUUGAACGAGGAAUUCCUAGUAAGCACAAGUCAUCAGCUUGUGUUGAUUACGUCCCUGCCCUUUGUACACACCGCCCGUCGCUCCUACCGAUUGAAUGUUCCGGUGAGCUCUUCGGACUGCGCGGUCUGCAGUUUCUGCGUUCCAUGCGGAAAGUUGCGCAAACCUUAACAUUUAGAGGAAGGAGAAGUCGUAACA